rnacentral:rRNA from 1 species
AUUGAACGCUGGCGGCAUGCUUUACACAUGCAAGUCGAACGGCAGCGUGGGCUUCGGCCUGGCGGCGAGUGGCGAACGGGUGAGUAAUACAUCGGAACGUGCCCAGUAGUGGGGGAUAGCUCGGCGAAAGCCGGAUUAAUACCGCAUACGACCUGAGGGUGAAAGCGGGGGAUCUUCGGACCUCGCGCUAUUGGAGCGGCCGAUGGCAGAUUAGCUAGUUGGUGGGGUAAAGGCCUACCAAGGCGACGAUCUGUAGCUGGUCUGAGAGGACGACCAGCCACACUGGGACUGAGACACGGCCCAGACUCCUACGGGAGGCAGCAGUGGGGAAUUUUGGACAAUGGGCGAAAGCCUGAUCCAGCAAUGCCGCGUGUGUGAUGAAGGCCUUCGGGUUGUAAAGCACUUUUGGCGGGAACGAAAAGGACUGUGCCAAUACCACGGUUCGAUGACGGUACCCGCAGAAUAAGCACCGGCUAACUACGUG